GUCAUGUGUCAUGAUCUCGUGAGU
rnacentral:siRNA from 1 species